UACGUAGGGUGCGAGCGUUGUCCGGAAUUACUGGGCGUAAAGAGCUCGUAGGUGGUUUGUCGCGUUGUUCGUGAAAACUCACAGCUUAACUGUGGGCGUGCGGGCGAUACGGGCAGACUGGAGUACUGCAGGGGAGACUGGAAUUCCUGGUGUAGCGGUGGAAUGCGCAGAUAUCAGGAGGAACACCGGUGGCGAAGGCGGGUCUCUGGGCAGUAACUGACGCUGAGGAGCGAAAGCGUGGGGAGCAAACAGG
rnacentral:rRNA from 1 species